rnacentral:rRNA from 1 species
UACGGGGGGAGCAAGCGUUGUUCGGAUUUACUGGGCGUAAAGGGCGCGUAGGCGGCCACCGCAAGUCGAUUGUGAAAUCUCCGGGCUUAACUCGGAAAGGUCAACCGAUACUGCGGGGCUAGAGUGCAGAAGGGGGCAACUGGAAUUCUCGGUGUAGCGGUGAAAUGCGUAGAUAUCGUAAGGAAGACCAGUGGCGAAGGCGGGUCUCUGGACAGUUCCUGACGCUGAGGCACGAAGGCCAGGGGAGCAAACGGG